AAACUGCGAAUGGCUCAUUAAAUCAGUUAUCGUUUAUUUGAUAGUACCUUACUACUUGGAUAACCGUGGUAAUUCUAGAGCUAAUACAUGCUGAAAACCCCGACUUCGGGAGGGGUGUAUUUAUUAGAUAAAAAACCAAUGCCCUUCGGGGCUCUUUGGUGAUUCAUGAUAACUUUUCAGAUCGCAUGGCCUUGCGCCGGCGACGGUUCAUUCAAAUUUCUGCCCUAUCAACUUUCGAUGGUAAGGUAUUGGCUUACCAUGGUUUCAACGGGUAACGGGGAAUUAGGGUUCGAUUCCGGAGAGGGAGCCUGAGAAACGGCUACCACAUCCAAGGAAGGCAGCAGGCGCGCAAAUUACCCAAUCCCGACACGGGGAGGUAGUGACAAUAAAUACUGAUACAGGGCUCUUUUGGGUCUUGUAAUUGGAAUGAGUACAAUUUAAACCUCUUAACGAGGAACAAUUGGAGGGCAAGUCUGGUGCCAGCAGCCGCGGUAAUUCCAGCUCCAAUAGCGUAUAUUAAAGUUGUUGCAGUUAAAAAGCUCGUAGUUGAACCUUGGGCCUGGCUGGCAGGUCCGCCUCACCGCGUGUACUUGUCCGGCCGGGCCUUUCCUUCUGGAGAACCUCAUGCCCUUCACUGGGUGUGCUGGGGAACCAGGACUUUUACUUUGAAAAAAUUAGAGUGUUCAAAGCAGGCCUUUGCUCGAAUACGUUAGCAUGGAAUAAUAGAAUAGGACGUGCGGUCCUAUUUUGUUGGUUUCUAGGACCGCCGUAAUGAUUAAUAGGGACAGUCGGGGGCAUCAGUAUUCAAUUGUCAGAGGUGAAAUUCUUGGAUUUAUUGAAGACUAACUACUGCGAAAGCAUUUGCCAAGGAUGUUUUCAUUAAUCAGUGAACGAAAGUUAGGGGAUCGAAGACGAUCAGAUACCGUCGUAGUCUUAACCGUAAACUAUGCCGACUAGGGAUCGGGCGAUGUUUCUAUCUUGACUCGCUCGGCACCUUACGAGAAAUCAAAGUUUUUGG
rnacentral:rRNA from 1 species